UGUUUGACCUCACCGUGUGUCAGGCACACACACUUGCAUUCGGUUAACAAAACUGCACCAUUUGCAGGUUUCUGGGGCCUUGAUGGUGUCGGAAAUCAAAAAGUACAGCUGGCUCACGGUGGACAGCCACAGAGACAGGAUCCAAAUCCUCUCACCAACAGCACAAACUCAUCAGCUGCAUGGCUCACCCCAUCCUGUCCGCCCCUUUGAAAUCAGGCCCCUCCUUCCAGCCUGAGGCCUUGGUGGGCUGAAUCCCAAUAAAAGGGAAGUUGCAUUUUGUUUUUAUGGGAAAAAGAAAAAGCCUUUGGAUUUGCAAAUGUCAUUGGCUAUGUCCUUGUGCAUCCCUGUGUUUAAACUCAGCACUAAUUUUAAUUCUUUCUCUGAUCAACAAUUCUUGAAUUCGCGGACUCAAGAAUUAAAUACAGACUUUGAAGUGUGCUUCCAGAUAUGCUUACCAGGAGAUUAAAUCCCCCUGUAAUGGAUGGCAGGAAUCGCCUAAGAGGAGCUCUGGAUUGAAAGUAGGUCACAUGUUUUCUGGAUGGGUACAUGGGGGAAAACUAAAAGUUUCAGAAAAUGAUUUCAUUAAAACAGCUCACUUGGGGCUUUUGCCUUGAACAUGUGCUUUUGGCAAAUGAGCAGAUCAAACUAGCAUUCUAACUAAACUUAGGGUGGAAAACAAAAGCCCGCCAACAUGGCCUCGGGGAAAUGUGGAGAUUGGAGCCAGGCAACCAGACCUGCAGUGCAUCCACCCAGCUUUCCACCAGCUCCUUUUCCUCUGAGCUCAAGUGACAGGCUGUGACAGCAAGUCUGACCUUCAACCGGGGUCUGAGCGGAGACUGCGCCGUGGGGCCCGGCAAGCCCACUCUCUGAAGCCUGCAGAUUCCCACUGUCCUUCAGGAGAAAACAAACGCUGGUGCUUGAAUAUUUGUGAAGCUACCAGCUCACCAGGCAGUGAACUGCCAGCCACUGGAUUCUGAGGUCCCAGGAGCUAUUGGUGACAACAGACAUCAACAGAUAGCAGAGGGCUAAGUCCCUCCUGGGGUCAGGAUGAGAAAGAGGGGCUCCCAG
rnacentral:lncRNA from 1 species